GGAGUUGUCUCCGGAGAUCUAUGAGCGCGGGAGAACCCUAUUACUAAUGGUGGUGUUAGUUUUU
rnacentral:tRNA from 1 species